rnacentral:misc_RNA from 1 species
GAUGAAGAACGCAGCGAAAUGCGAUAAUUAAUGUGAAUUGCAGAAUUCCGUGAAUCAUCGAGCCUUUGAACGCACAUUGCGCCUCAUGGCAUUCCGUGAGGCAUGCCCAUCUCAGCGUUAGAAAAUAUUCUCAAAUUUUAGUUUUGUGCUAAAAUUUGGAUCAUGUCAAAGAAGCUAUUACUAUUAUUGUGAUCGCUCUUUGGAAAUUGAUAGGUCUUUGAGUUGCUACUCAUAGAACGUGAUGAAUCUUUCUUCGUUCUAUUGUAAUUCACUCUGGUAGUCCUAAAACUUGUAUGCCUGAGGCAUAUCUUGUAAUUUGACCUGAGAUUGGGUAGGGAUACCCGCUGAACUUAAGCAUAUCAAUAAGCGGAGGA